rnacentral:rRNA from 1 species
UUUAUUUGAGAGUUUGAUCCUGGCUCAGGAUGAACGCUGGCGGCGUGCCUAACACAUGCAAGUUGAGCGAUUUACUUCGGUAAAGAGCGGCGGACGGGUGAGUAACGCGUGGGUAACCUACCCUGUACACACGGAUAACAUACCGAAAGGUAUGCUAAUACGGGAUAAUAUAUUUGAGAGGCAUCUCUUGAAUAUCAAAGGUGAGCCAGUACAGGAUGGACCCGCGUCUGAUUAGCUAGUUGGUAAGGUAACGGCUUACCAAGGCGACGAUCAGUAGCCGACCUGAGAGGGUGAUCGGCCACAUUGGAACUGAGACA